rnacentral:rRNA from 1 species
ACACGACUACAUUAGAUACCCGUGUAGUCCCAGCCCUAAACGAUGCGCGUUAGGUGUAUCGGUGACCACGAGUCACCGAGGUGCCGAAGGGAAACCGUGAAACGUGCCGCCUGGGAAGUACGGACGCAAGGCUGAAACUUAAAGGAAUUGGCGGGGGAGCACCACAACGCGUGGAGCCUGCGGUUUAAUUGGAUUCAACGCCGGAAAUCUUACCGGGACCGACAGCAACAUGAAGGCCAAGCUGAAGACUUUGCCGGAUUAGCUG